UGGGGAAUAUUGCACAAUGGGCGAAAGCCUGAUGCAGCAACGCCGCGUGCGGGAUGACGGCCUUCGGGUUGUAAACCGCUUUCAGCAGGGACGAAGGUUUUCUGACGGUACCUGCAGAAGAAGCACCGGCUAACUACGUGCCAGCAGCCGCGGUGAUACGUAGGGUGCGAGCGUUGUCCGGAAUUAUUGGGCGUAAAGAGCUUGUAGGCGGUCCGUUGCGUCGGAAGUGAAAACUCAGGGCUUAACCCUGAGCCUGCUUUCGAUACGGGCGGACUUGAGGGAUGUAGGGGAGAACGGAAUUCCUGGUGGAGCGGUGGAAUGCGCAGAUAUCAGGAGGAACACCAGUGGCGAAGGCGGUUCUCUGGACAUUUCCUGACGCUGAGAAGCGAAAGCGUGGGGAGCAAACAGGCUUAGAUACCCUGGUAGUCCACGCCGUAAACGGUGGGCACUAGGUGUGGGACCCAUUUCCACGGGUUCCGUGCCGUAGCUAACGCAUUUAAGUGCCCCGCCUGGGGAGUACGGCCGCAAGGCUAAAACUCAAAGGAAUUGACGGGGUCAUAGCUGUUU
rnacentral:rRNA from 1 species